AAGAAAAAAAAAAAAAAAAAAAAAUACCAAGCAACGGCAUUUUAAACAUUUUUUUUGUUUUUUUGCGUGGUGUAGGUAGGAAAAAACAAAAAGUAUUUAAAAAACGGCCAAAAAAGGACAGGGCUUUUAGGUGCUAAUGGGGUUAAAAGGUUAAUUAUUUUUCUUUAUUUCAUGUGCAUUUUAUAAACGUAUUGGGCUGAAGACCCACAUUCCAUAGAAUGCAAUUGACAGUGAUUUGCAUCAAAUCUAUGUGAACUGGGAUGGCAGGCAUUGAGUGAUUGUGCUUCAGUGCCAUUGACGGCAAGAGACAUCCGAUCAAAUGAUUGCUGUUAGCCCUCCCGUUCGAAACGGAUUGGAUGUCCAGCACCGUCCAGUGGGGCAUCAUAGUAAAAUUUGCCAUAAUAGCCUUCAUGUUGUGUCGUAAAUAUGGAUUUUAUUAUGACACCCGAGUUUCUCAGAUGGGUGGACGUUUUAAUAUUCAAAAUGGCGGCGUGUGAACAAGAAGUUGUGAAUGUUAAAAGACUAUAUAUUUUUUCCAAUAGAUUUAUCAUUCAUUUUCACUUUUAUUUUAUUUUUUACGCCAGCACAAUAACAUAGUUUACAUAAGCUAUGUCCUUCCAAGUUUUCCCGCUACCCCAAUGGACCUAUCGUAAAACCACACCCCCAAAUCCGAAAAGUCGGACAUCUAGCCAUAUAUUUGCAUAGGGACGCUAUUAGGUCGUCACUUAAAGCAUAAUUUUCCCCCCAACUUAAAAAUAGCAAAAACCUGAUGGUUUAAUACUGUGCGUGGGGUACCUGUAUACCCGACACCAGGUACACUGAAAGAUUGAAAAUGCACAAAAAAUCCGCCCAACGCCAAAAACACCAAAUGCACGCUAUAGUGAGCUAACUCUGUCAUUAACCACAUAAACAACUGAAUGUCAAGACAGUCACCCAAGGACACUAAUGCUUGGUCAAAGUUAAGUUAAUGAUAGAUUUGUAAAAAAAUAUAUAUUUUUGAAGCAUGUAGUAAAAACAUAGACUUAAAGGGGAACUGAAGAGCUUUUCAGAUUUCGCUCUUAAGUGUUUUACUCAGUUGAAUUGUAUUAAAUGCGUCAUUCGCUCUCUCAAAAAGUCACAUAAAAAAAAUAAAUAAAUAAUUGACCGCGUAGUUUUUGAGUUAUGGCCAUAGCAACACCAUAGCAACGAGGGACGCGCCGUCCUGCUGACCCCUACCUCGUGACGUAACUUCCAGGAAGCCUCGCCACCACUCUGAACACGGAAAUAUAGCACCACGCUAUCCUCGCCAUAUAUUGCAAACAUUUUCUGGGUUUUACUCGCGGGAUUCGUCAUGCCAUCUCGAUGUGUAGCGAUAUGAAUUACUCACAGGAAGACUCGAGACUCUAGGAGUGGUCCAAAAAAAAACUUCUCCUGCAAAGCCACGACAGAUUUGAAAACCUUCAACAAUGCAACCUUGGUUUUCCAAAGACGAAGCCAAACAUAAAAAAUUAAGUGGCGGAAACCCUCAACACGAUGAAAAAAGCGUUGCAAGUCAGUUGCCACCCAGUUUCCCAAAAUCAAGAGAGUGUGGGUCGAGUCAUAUGAUGACCGAAGUGAUGCGGUGUCCAGCGAUGACGACUGAAGAGAUCCUAUGAGGCCUGCCAGAUGCUGAAUUUCUUCCGUCUGCGACAUCAGAUGACGAUGAUUUAGGAGAAAUAAAUGUAGCAAAUUUUGAUGACAUGAAAUCAUAAACUAGUCAUAUAUACAGUACACAUUUUUUAAAAUCAAGUUACCUUCAUAUUUUAAUGAUAAUGCAUUAUCUUUGUAUAGAGAACACUUCAUGCUACAGAAAAGAGUAAAUACAUAUUUCCCACUGCCAUUAUCAUUUUUCAAUGUUGCGCUAGUCCGUUGCUAUCCUAACUUUGUGUUGCUUACUAAAAUUAUGCUCUUUGAUGUGUGCCGUUGUGUGCUUGGUAUAACAUGUUGUGUCACAAUCUGACAACGAAAGCUAAUGCAGAUUCAACAUAAACCUGGUAUCAUUUAUUAUUGCGGCCUAUUGAAUAUUUUUUCAGAAUGUAAUAUAAUUACAAUAUAUUAUAUACCAAUAGAAUACAUUAAACAGUCAACAAAAUGUGUCAAUGUUGUUAACAAUUUAUGGUUAUAUUUUUUUAAUGAAAUUCAUGCCCCUGUCAGUGCUUCAGCCUCCGCAAGUUUGGCUCUCACGUCUGGGAUCUCCUGAUGACACAGGCAUACUCUUGGAAGGGUAAUUACUUGAUGGUUUACAGCAACACCUGGAAAAUAAAAUGGUUUUGUCAUUUAUUUUGAAAUAUCAAUAACAUAUCAUUCAUUUAGCCACAUUUGGGCUAGCUUUAUCAUAUUUAGAUCGGUAGGAGCUGUCCCAUUACCUAAAAUCCAGUUUUAGCUAUCUGUAGAGCAUUCAUUUAGCCACAUUUGGGCUAGCUUUAUCAUAUUUAGAUCGGUAGGAGCUGUCCCAUUACCUA